UUCGGGGUACACGAGCGGCGAACGGGUGAGUAACACGUGAGCAACCUGCCCCUGACUCCGGGAUAAGCGGUGGAAACGCCGUCUAAUACCGGAUACGACCCGUGGUCUCCUGAUCGCGGGUGGAAAGUUGUAUCGGUCAGGGAUGGGCUCGCGGCCUAUCAGCUUGUUGGUGGGGUAACGGCCUACCAAGGCGAUUACGGGUAGCCGGCCUGAGAGGGCGACCGGCCACACUGGGACUGAGACACGGCCCAGACUCCUGCGGGAGGCAGCAGUGGGGAAUAUUGCGCAAUGGGCGAAAGCCUGACGCAGCGACGCCGCGUGGGGGAUGACGGCCUUCGGGUUGUAAACCUCUUUUACCACCAACGCAGGCCUCCGGUUCUCUGGGGGUUGACGGUAGGUGGGGAAUAAGGACCGGCUAACUACGUGCCAGCAGCCGCGGUAAUACGUAGGGUCCGAGCGUUGUCCGGAAUUAUUGGGCGUAAAGAGCUCGUAGGCGGCGUGUCGCGUCUGCUGUGAAAGACCGGGGCUUAACUCCGGUUCUGCAGUGGAUACGGGCAUGCUAGAGGUAGGUAGGGGAGACUGGAAUUCCUGGUGUAGCGGUGAAAUGCGCAGAUAUCAGGAGGAACACCGGUGGCGAAGGCGGGUCUCUGGGCCUUACCUGACGCUGAGGAGCGAAAGCAUGGGGAGCGAACAGGAUUAGAUACCCUGGUAGUCCAUGCCGUAAACGUUGGGCGCUAGGU
rnacentral:rRNA from 1 species